UCUAUCAGUUGUGUACCAGGCAGAAGCAUUUUAUUUCUACGGUCUCUGCAAUGGUACUUUUAAAACCCUUUGAAUGAUUAGAUGAGCCUUCCUUCUGCUUUUCUAUUGAAACCCAGCAAGCAAGAAGAAAUUUCUUUCCAGUUUGAACUUCCAAGUGGCAUCCUACUGGCUCAACUCUGAAUAUCCUGCCUCAAACAAGAAAUACUGUUAAAUUGUCUGCUGCAUUUAUUCCUUUGUGGCCCCAAUUUCUCCACUUCAAUCUUGAAUUUGGAGGGGAUGUCUGGAAGGAGGAAUGAGUCACAUACUCAGUUGACUUCUUGUGAACCUUCCCCCAGUGAAUAAAGGGACCAAUGACUGGGCAUGGAGGUGGGUCUUCCAGGUUGGACAGAGGAAGAGAGGAAGCAGAAGAGAGUUGGGGACUUUUUGGACAGAUUGAUUAGAAGAGCACACAUUUGGAGAAGAGGAGGCUUGUCCAUCAGAGUUGCAAGAGAGCAGCUGAAUGGAGUGAUCUCUAGCAUAUUCACAGAAUGUGCUCGUGUUGACAGCCACUCCUUCCCUGUACUCCAACUCAAAUUUGGCCUUCUUGCCCGGAUGCUUUGCUACUGUGGGAUCCCCAGUUUCCCAGGUCUCUCCAAUCACCACCUGAGCUCUUUUCUCCCAAGUACUUCUCCCUUCAUCUAGAGCAGUGGUUCUUAACCUUCCUAAAGCUGCAACACUUUAACACAGUUACUUAUGUUAUGUUGACACCAAACAUAAAAUUAUCUU